rnacentral:rRNA from 1 species
UGGGUGCUAGGUCCAUGUCCGAGAGGGAAAGAACCCAGACCAUCAGCUAAGGUCCCAAAGUGUAUGCUAAGUUGAAUAAACGAGGUUUGACUGCCCAGACAGCUAGGAUGUUGGCUUGGAAGCAGCCAUUCAUUUAAAGAGUGCGUAACAGCUCACUAGUCGAGCGGUCGAGCAUGGAUAAUAAUCGGGCAUAAGCAUAUCACCGAAGCUAUGGCAUCGAAAGAUGGGUAGGGGAGCAUUGUAGCGACGUUGAAGGUAAACUGUGAGGUUUGCUGGAGUUUCUACAAAAGAAAAUGUAGGCAUAAGUAACGAUAAUGCGGGCGAGAAACCCGCACACCGAAAGACUAAGGUUUCCUCAGCUAUGCUAAUCAGCUGAGGGUUAGUCGGGACCUAACGCGAACCCGAAAGGGGUAGUGGAUGGACAACAGGUUAAUAUUCCUGUACCUGCUCUCAUUAAAAGUGACGGAUAGCCCAGAUAUCUACGUGGUGACGGAAGUCCACGUUGAGCAUAGCCUUCGGGCGAAGCGAAGAUAAGUAAGCUGUUCCAAGAAAAGCGAGAGAAGCAGCCCGUACCGUAAACCGACACAGGUAGUUGGGAUGAGUAUUCUAAGGUGCUCGAGAGAUUCAUGGCUAAGGAACUAGGCAAAAUCGACCCGUAACUUCGGGAGAAGGGUCGCCACGUUUCGACGUGGCCGCAGUGAAAAGAUCCAGGCGACUGUUUAUCAAAAACACAGGACUCUGCUAAAUCGAAAGAUGACGUAUAGGGUCUGACACCUGCCCGGUGCCGGAAGGUUAAGUGGAGUUGUUAGCUUCGGCAAAGCAAUCAAAUGAAGCCCCGGUAAACGGCGGCCGUAACUAUAACGGUCCUAAGGUAGCGAAAUUCCUUGUCGGGUAAGUUCCGACCUGCACGAAUGGUGCAACGAUCUGGAUACUGUCUCGGCCAUGAGCUCGGUGAAAUUGUAGUAUCGGUGAAGAUGCCGAUUACCCGCUACGGGACGAAAAGACCCCGUGCACCUUUACUAUAGCUUCGUAUUGACUUUGGAUAAAUAAUGUGUAGGAUAGGUGGGAGACUUUGAAGCAGCAUCGCUAGGUGUUGUGGAGUCACCCUUGAAAUACCACCCUUUAUUUAUCUAGAGCCUAAUCUGUUUACAGAGACAGUGCGUGGUGGGUAGUUUGACUGGGGUGGUCGCCUCCAAAAGAGUAACGGAGGCUUCUAAAGGUACCCUCAGCACGCUUGGUAACCGUGCGUAGAGUGCAAUGGCAUAAGGGUGCUUGACUGAGAGACCUACAAGUCGAUCAGGUACGAAAGUAGAGCAUAGUGAUCCGGUGGUUCCGCAUGGAAGGGCCAUCG